rnacentral:lncRNA from 1 species
AUGCCAGCUACCUUCACUCAGGAAAGAAACAGUCAGCUUCCGAGCCUCUGCCUCCCCAGACCCAGGCAUUUCAAGUGGGGCAGGCCUCGUGAGAAACAGACAGACGGAAGCUUUCCGUGCGGAAAGCGAGCAGGGUUGGGGUCAACCGGGCAGCCUGUCCCGGGCCUUUGGGCACGAGGCCCCACCUGGAGUCUGGGCCCAGAAGUCCCAUGGGCUGGGGAAGCCCGGUGCUGCCAGCCCCCGUGGUCCUCGGCGGAGGGUCUCGCCCCUCCUGCUCUCGUCUUCCCUGUGGGAGCCAGCUCUAGGGUUUCUCCGCCUCACCCACCAAGUGCAGGGAUCCUGGGGCCUGUUCCCAAAGGGCGUGCUGGGGCCCGCCCAGGUCUGGGCUCCCGGAGAACUGAUGCUCCAGAAAGUAUUGCAUUUUAUCCUGAUGUUGCUUCAAGAGACUGCGAGGCUGUUGUCAAAUACGAACUUCCUAACUUAAUUCUCCUCUGCCAUGCCCACCAGGUGUCACAGUCCAGGGGCCCACACGGCCUGUGUGUUUCUGGAAGAAAGCGGCCCUCCUCUGGAUGGCGUGUGGGUCACCAGCUGACGCUGCCUGGGUCCCACGGGGAGCUCAGGAUGCUCUGCUCGCUCAGUCAGGACUCCAGGAGUUGCAGAGGCUCAAAGAAGAGACCAAAGCCUCUGCUCCCAUCAGAGGCAGACCCUGGAGUUGCCAGAUUUACAACAAAUUUUUUCAGUAGAAACCUCAGGCUUGUCAGAGGAUAACCCAGAAAACCAGCAUUAACUCCAAAAUCUGUAAGGGCAGGAAGAGUGGAAGAAGCAACCGAGGACCCCAGGUCUGCAGGGAAACAGAACAGGGGAACGUCAGUGAUGCUGAACUCCCUGCAGUGAGACGGAUUCCACACGGCUGGGCACCCGUCACUUUCAGCAUCAAAACUGUGAUGCAUUUCGGUAGGAAUCUUUCUUUUCAAAGGGAAUACCCACUUCUCCCGCCUCUUAAGGGAAGAAGACUAACCAGGAUCCUUCCCUCCAAGGACUCAAGGUUGCCAGCAUGAAGACAGGCCCUUCCUUGGACUGAGACCCAGCAAGUUCUCAGGGUUCGGUAGAUGGGGAUUUGCCCAAGACCUCAGGACAUGCUGGGCACUGGGAGGCCUGGCUGGGAGCUUCCUGAAUCCUUCUCUGUGAAUCAGUAUCCCAAACUAGAAAUGUGUGUUGAAGAUGGGUAAUGAAUAUGUGGGGGGUUUGUGAUAUUCUCUACUUUUAUACAUUUGGAGUUUUUCAUAAUAAAAAAUGUAAUUGUUUUCCUAUUUUGUAUGCU